UUUUCAUUGUAUCGCGCAAACCCAGAAGGUCUCGUGAAAACCCUAUAUUUUUCUCUUGCAAACCCUCCUCUCAUCAUCCUCUUGUGCAAGCCCACUCUAGAGCCUUCGAUCCCAGCAAAGAACCAGCCUCUUAUCCCCACCGAAUCCAAAUCCAAAGCCUUCAAUCCCAACGAAUGUUGUUUUAUUCCCCAUCCGCGAUUCUGUGGAAACCCUCUCAUUCUCUAUGACUCGCUCCAAGACUCCUCCGGCAACAUCUCCACAGUCUCCUGAUUCAACUCUGGCAACUUCCAUGAAUCUGACAACACACUUAUACAAGAGCUUCAGCAAUCGCUUGAAAACCAACCUAAAAGCAACAAAAAGGUUACCUAUAGGGACAACAGAAGCAACAACAUUGGCAAAUGAUUUUGAUGCUACUGAAUAAUUUCUCAUGGUUCUUACCAUGCAAAAGUAGCAGAGAAAGAAAGCAAUAAAGAAAGAUGCUUGGAGAUAAAUUUUCAUAUUGUGUCAAAUUUUUAACUAUUUUCAUUUUAGAAUUUAAUAUUGUUAUCAUUACAUGAAUUGGUUUUAUGUACUAGCCACGUUCAAAACAAUCGGAGAUUGUGGCUAACAUUAAUUUUAUUUUAUGUGGUUAAUUGAAAGAUUUUGAAGUUA